UACGGAGGGGGCUAGCGUUGUCCGAAGUUACUGGGCGUAAAGCGCGCGUAGGCGGGUUGGUAAGUCCGCUGUGAAAGCCUGGAGCUCAACUCCGGAGGGUCGGUGGAUACUGCCAGUCUUGAAGGUGCUAGGGGGAGAUGGAAUUACCGGUGUAGCGGUGAAAUGCGUAGAUAUCGGUAGGAACACCAGUGGCGAAGGCGGUCUCCUGGGGCAUUCUUGACGCUGAGGAACGAAAGCUAGGGGAGCGAACGGG
rnacentral:rRNA from 1 species